CACGUAGGGUGCAAGCGUUGUCCGGAAUCAUUGGGCGUAAAGAGCUCGUAGGCGGCUUAGUAAGUCGGGUGUGAAAACCCCAGGCUCAACCUGGGGACGCCACCCGAUACUGCUAUAGCUAGAGUCCAGUAGGGGAGUGUGGAAUUCCCAGUGUAGCGGUGAAAUGCGCAGAUAUUGGGAGGAACACCAGCGGCGAAGGCGGCACUCUGGGCUGGUACUGACGCUGAGACGCGAAAGCGUGGGGAGCGAACAGG
rnacentral:rRNA from 1 species